GGGUCAUAUGGGGUCUCUAUGGGUUUCUAUGGGAGGCUAUGGGGGACUAUGGGGUCAUAUGGGGUCGUAUGGGGUCUCUAUGGAAGUCUAUGGGAGUCUAUGGGUUUCUAUGGGAGUCUAUGGGGGACUAUGGGGUCCUAUGGGCUCUUAUGGGGUCAUGUGGGGUCAUAUGGGGUCCUAUGGGGGCUUAUGGGGUCCUAUGGGGGCUUAUGGGGUUGUAUGGGGUCGCUAUGGGAGUCUAUGGGGUCCUAUGGGGGACUAUGGGGUCUUAUGGGGUCUUAUGACGUCUCUAUGUGUCCUGUGGGGGACUACGGGGUCUUAUGGGGUCGUAUGGGGUCAUAUGGGGUCUCUAUGGGAGUCUAUGGGUCUCUAUGGUUUCUGUAGGAGUCUGUGGGUCUCUAUGGGAGUCUAUGGGGUCGUAUGGGGUCAUAUGGGGUCGUAUGGGGUCCUAUGGGGUCGUAUGAGGGUUUAUGGGGUUCUAUGGGUCUCUAUGGGAGUCUAUGGGUAUCUCUGGGAGUCUAUGGGGUCUUAUGGGGUCAGAUGGGGUCCUAUGGGGUCCUAUGGGGUCCUAUGGGGUCUUAUGGGGUCUCUAUGGGGUCCUAUGGGGUCCUAUGGGGGCUUAUGGGGUCUUAUGGGGUCCUAUGGGGUCCUAUGGGGUCUCUGUUGGAGCUUAUGGGGUCCUAUGGGGGCUUAUGGGGUCCUACGGGGGCUUAUGGGGUCCUAUGGGUCUCUAUGGGAGUCUAUGGGUUUCUAUGGGAGUCUAUGGGGUCCUAUGGGGUCCUCUGGGGGCUUAUGGGGUUGUAUGGGGUCAUAUGGUGUCCUCUGGGGGCUUAUGGGGUCCUAUGGGGUCCUAUGCGGUCUUACGGGGUCGUAUGGGGUCUCUAUGGGAGGCUAUGGGUUUCUAUGGGAGUCUAUAGGGGACUAUGGGGUCCUAUGGGGACUUAUGGGGUCGUAUGGGGUCUUAUGGGGUCUCUAUGGGAGUCUAUGGGUUUCUAUGGGAGUCUAUGGGGUCUUACGGGGUCAGAUGGGGUCGUAUGGGGUCGUAUGGGGUCGUAUGGGGUCUUACGGGGUCUUCUAGUGUCCAACAGGUCUAAUAGGGCCUU
rnacentral:lncRNA from 1 species